AAUAUGAAGUUUUAUUAAAAGAAAAAGGGGUGAAAAGAACAAAGUUUUGUCUAUCUUUGUUCAUCAUAGCUGAAAGUUAGAGAAGAGAAAGGAGAGGAGAAAGCUCUUGAGUAUUCGGUCAUUAGGAGGAGGAAAAUUGAAGGCGGUUCGUGUGUGGAUCUCGUCAGCAUAUCGUCGCAAACAGGUGUGUAACUAACACCCUCUUUCUUAGUCUAGAUCGGCAAAAGCCGAAAAGCCGAAAUGCCGAAAACUGGUAUUUUGUAGAUUUGCGAGUGUGCGAAUGCUCGUGAGGUAAAUCGAUUAAUGUUUUUGGUAAGCUGCAAUGUUUGGACUGCAAAGUGCAUGAUUUCUAUGCCCUCAAUAUUUUUGGGCUUAAUGGGCCAAAAUUGGAAUGAUGGGCCAACGGGCCCAAUUCGGUAAGAACCCUCGGUACGUGAUUCUGUUAGUACGUGAAAAGUAGGAAUAUGCAUGAAAAACCCUAAAAUAGAUAAAUUACUGAAAUACCUUUAAAAGUGGAAAAUUUACAGUUUUACCCCUAGUAGAUAAAUUACCAAAAUACCCCUAGGGUUAAAUUGACCUAAAUGCAUGUUUGACUGUUGUUAUUUCUUGCAUGCCAUGUUGUUAUUAUCGAUGCAUGGGACUGGGAUAUUGACGGAGGAAAUCUGAAAGUGGCUUGUCCACGUCUUUGGAGGCUUUGCCUCAAUUUAUUGUUAACUAGCAGCAAAGGCCGCAAGCUGUGGAGUGUUAAAUUUGGGUGGGUUGAGCUAUUCCCACAUGGAGUGUAUGGCUGGUACGGUGGAGUGUAGUGGUUGGUGGGUUGAGUAGUCUCCCAAAUGGGCUUGCAUAUGUUUCUUGAUGUUGCAUGUAUUUUGAAAUGGGCCUAUGGGCCAUCUUGUUAUCUGAAUAAGGGGCUAAGGCCCGGUUUAUUGUAAUCUGAAAAGGGCUUUGGCCCAGUAUCACUGUUACCCAAAUGGGCUUGCAUAUGUUAUUGAUGUUGCAUGUAUUUUGAAAUGGGCCUAUGGGCCAUACUGUUAUCUGAAUAAGGGGCUAAGGCCCAGUUUAUUAUAAUCUGAAAAGGGCUCGCCCAGUACCACUAUUACCCAAAUGGGCUUGCACAUGUUAUUGAUGUUGCAUGUAUUUUGAAAUGGGCCUAUGGGCCAUAUCAUUAUCUGAAUAAGGGCUAAGGCCGGUUUAUUAUAAUCUGAAAAGGGCUCGGCCCAGUACCACUCAUUACUGAAUGGGCUUAGGCCCAAUAGGCUUGAGUGACUUGGGCUUGAAUGGGUUUUCCUUACACACCGAGUUUCCCCAAACUCACCCUUUUAUUUUCAUCCACGCAGAAAUCCCCAACCAUAGUGGGCUUGGAGUCGUGAGGGAAUUGGAGUGGCCACCCGCUCGAAAGUUUGAUUUUCUUCCGUGAACUGGACAUCCUUUUAAUUACGUUUGAGGUUUUGGGCUUUUAAAUGUAAUAAGGCCGCUUAUUUAUUUUGAUGGUUUUAAUAUGUAUUACUAAGAUAGGUAUUACUUAUUUUAACUGUUGAAACUGGAUAGCUUUAGGGCGUUUUAAAAACAACAGUUGAUUUCAAAAUAACACGACAACAAGCAAAGCUUCCGCAAUGAAAGUAUUUUCCAAAAUUAAUCACUUUUCCUAAAAUGACUUAAUCAAAUCGGUUUCUAGAAAUAUCCAUGACGUUAAGGUGUGGCAAUGGCGAUAUACAUGUCUAGGAUUGGAUCCGAAUGGAGCUUGGUAUAGCGAUCGAUGGACUCACCACCUCUUUUCCGGUUUCCUACGGUGCAUGACUUCUAUUCACUUUAACCCUUAAUGAAUUAAUCUUUUGAACAUUAAGUACGAUUUUCGGACUUAGAAUGGAUUUUUUUAACGUUUUUGAUGUGGCAUGCCGGAUCCGGCCAUAACUUCUGGGCCGGGUUUGGGGUGCUACACAAAUAACCCCUCCCUUAAAAAAACACGUGGAUCCUAGCUGGAGCGGGUCCGACCCGACCCAGGGCCAAAACGAUGUUGUUUUUCGUUUAAUGGGGGGACCAAAACGCACCGUUUUGGUCCCCUAUAAAAGAUAAAAAAAUUUUAAAAAAAUUCAUUGGAAGGGGAGGAAGAAAAAAAAAAGGAGAGAAAAGGGAGAAGGGAAGGGAAUCCGGCCAGGGGGCUGGUCACCGGCCGAUCGUCGGCCGCCGUCUGUCGCCGACGCUGGCCACCAUACACGGUGGCCGAAAAGGGAAUGGGCAAACGGUGGAGGUGACCGGUGGUGCAGAGAGUGGUGCUGUCAGAGGGCAGGUGGGCAAGUGGCUGAGUCGGCUGAACUUAGGAGACUAGGGUUUGGUGGGAUUUGGGCUGUUAGUUGAUGGGUUUGGGCUUCUGGUGGGUUGAAUUUUAGGUGGGUCAAAAUUAGGUUCAAAUUGUAAACGGGUUUUGGGUUUAAUUUGGGCUGAUUGGUUGUAAUUGGGUUUUGAUGGGUUUAGUGUAACGGGCUGAGGUUUAAAUGGGCUUGUGGGUAAAAUUGGCCUGUAACAAUAGGGUUGCCGCAAUAGCUGAAGCUCUUGGGGUGCUCCUGCUAUUUGAAUCUGGACCUUUAAGGCUGUAGGGAGAUUGAGAUCUGCCAAAACCAUGGUAAAGUUUGGAAAUAAAGUGACCAUUACGAGGCUAGAA